GACUUCCUGGAGAAGCAGGUUGAAAUUCCUGCCAUUCAUCAGACAGGCUCUGGAUUGAUGCUGCGUCUUUCGCCCUCAAUGUCACACACAGCACAUCAGUCUCUUGGGGAAUAUGAGGCAAGGUAACCCCCUCAAUGACUGAUGCCACGGAAGAGCAAACAGACACCAGCCAAGGGAAGGCCGGCCAGUGUACACACCCGAGAUGCAAGGUCCUACCCUACCUAAGUUAAGUACCAGUGGCCAGGUCGGAAGAACGAACCAGAGUAGGGAAGUCAGAAAUCGCGAUGUACGUGAUGAGUGACCAGGGACACAGAGGGAGUGUGGAGAUCAAGUGCUGUUUGUUUGUUCUUCCGUUGCAGGAUCCUGCAUUGUGGUGCUGGAGAGGGAGGGGACCGAGCCUGAAGGGAGCUAAAUACAAGCUUUACACCGGGACAAACCAACGGAUUAGGAGGUUCUUUGAUCGGUCACCUUCAACUUUACCUUUCCUUGUCGCUGUUUCUACCGGGAGCGUUUGGCAACUUGGAUUAAAGUACAGGACCUACAAACUGAGUUUUCUAGGCCUUGAGGCCCAGGUGAACACACUGGAACUAUUGUUUCACUAAACAGAUAUUGUGUGGAGUGGAAUAAUUGUAAUACUAAUAGCCCCCUGUAGUCACAAGUAGCCUGUUAAAAUAUUUUAUGGAAGAUUUUAGUGGUUUUACUUAGUGCACAGCUUUAGGUGUUUUUUAGAAUAUAUUUUUUAUGGAAACAACGUGCAAGGUGGUUGAAAGUGGGGUGUUUUCAAAUUGUCUUCUAAAAUAAGUUGUAUUCAAUUGCCUAAAUUUCCUGUAAUAAAGAAAUCAUCAUUUUA